AUGAUUUCCCUCACCUAUUCCCUAUUCCUGACUACAUUACUGAUGAUGAGGACACCAAUUCUGAGCAUAAGGACACAGAUGUGGAGCUCAUUUUCCACACAGUAUGUACAAAGUGCCCAAAGAGGGGUCUGUCACUGGUGUAGGAAGGGUUCUAAACGAGAUGGACAUUUUCUAACGCUGCGCUCGUUGUCCCAUUUUCUAACGCUCGCUGCGCUCGUUGUCCCAUUUUCUACCGCUGCGCUCGUUGUCCCAUUUUCUACCGCUGAGCUCGUUGUCCCAUUUUCUACCGCUGCGCUCGUUGUCCCAUUUUCUACCGCUGAAAUGUCAGGCACCAGAAGGAUGUAUU
rnacentral:lncRNA from 13 species